GAGAUGGUGACAUGGAGCAAAUCCCAAAAAUAACGUCCCAGUUCGGAUUGCAGCCUGCAACUCGGCUGCAUGAAGCUGGAAUCGCUAGUAAUCGCGGAUCAGAAUGCCGCGGUGAAUACGUUCCCGGGUCUUGUACACACCGCCCGUCACACCAUGGGAGUAGGUAAUGCCCGAAGUCGGUGACCUAACCGGAAGGAAGGAGCCGCCGAAGGCAGGACUUAUAACUGGGGUGAAGUCGUAACAAGGUAGC
rnacentral:rRNA from 1 species